rnacentral:rRNA from 1 species
AUUGAACGCUGGCGGCAGGCUUAACACAUGCAAGUCGAGCGAGCGGCGGACGGGUGAGUAAUGUCUGGGAAUCUGCCUGAUGGAGGGGGAUAACUACUGGACACGGUAGCUAAUACCGCAUACAAGCGCAUGUGCCCAGAUGGGAUUAGCUUGUGGGUGGGGGAAUGGCUCACCAAGGCGACGAUCCCUAGCUGGUCUGAGAGGAUGACCAGCCACACUGGAACUGAGACACGGUCCAGACUCCUACGGGAGGCAGCAGUGGGGAAUAUUGCACAAUGGGCGAAAGCCUGAUGCAGCCAUGCCGCGUGUGUGAAGAAGGCCUUCGGGUUGUAAAGCACUUUCAGCGAGGAGGCGUUACUCGCAGAAGAAGCACCGGCUAACUCCGUGCCAGCAGCCGCGGUAAUUC